CUGUAGGUUGGAGUAAACAUGCAAAAGGUUGUCACCAAAACGCCUGUACAUAGUUAGUUGUUGCAGUGAUUUUCUGAUUAGUUUAUGCCUCUUUACUGAAAUCACACAAAUUAGUUUCUAGCAACUACUGUCCCAAAAAGCCAGAGAAAGCAUGAUGGCGGAAUUAGUGAUGAAGACAUUUAGGAAGCCAUUCAAGCAGUAAUCAAGAGAUUUGUUGAGCAAGACGUGCGUCUCAAGUGAUUUGUCCUCCGCAAAGAGGCUAACACACAAGCUGCAGAAGAAAACAAAGAGGAAAUUGGAAAAUAUCAGAGACAUAUGGAA